rnacentral:rRNA from 1 species
AGGAUAAACGCUGGCGGCGUGCCUAACACAUGCAAGUCGAACGCGCUUUCGGGCUUCGGUGCGAGAGCGAGUGGCGGACGGGUGAGUAACACAUGGGUACCUGCCUUUCAGUGAGGGAUACCGGCGAGAAAUCGCCGACAAUACCGCAUGGGCUUGUGGGAACACAAGCAAAGUGGCGCAAGCCACGCUGGAAGAUGGGCCUGUGGCCGAUUAGCUAGUUGGGGGGUAAUGGCCUCCCAAGGCGACGAUCGGUAGCUGGUCUGAGAGGACGAUCAGCCACACUGGGAUUGAGAACGGCCAGACUCUACGGGGGCAGCAGUGAGGAAUUUUCCGCAAUGGACGAAAGUCUGACGGAGCAACGCCGCGUGCAGGAGGAAGGUUUUCGGAUCGUAAACUGCUUUCGUCGGGACGAGCAAGGACGGUACCGAGGAAGAAGCCCGGCUAACUACGUGCCAGCAGCCG